rnacentral:pre_miRNA from 1 species
UGAUAUGUUUGAUAUUCGGUUGUUCUUUUGCUUUAUUAUGUCAACUAAAUAUCAGACAUAUUCCUA